rnacentral:rRNA from 1 species
AACGAACGCUGGCGGCAGGCUUAACACAUGCAAGUCGAACGCCCCGCAAGGGGAGUGGCAGACGGGUGAGUAACGCGUGGGAACGUGCCCUUCGCUUCGGAAUAGCCCCGGGAAACUGGGAGUAAUACCGAAUACGCCGUAUUGGGAAAGAUUUAUCGGCGAAGGAUCGGCCCGCGUUAGAUUAGCUAGUUGGCGGUGUAAUGGACCACCAAGGCUACGAUCUAUAGCUGGUCUGAGAGGAUGAUCAGCCACACUGGGACCGAGACACGGCCAGACUCCUACGGGAGGCAGCAGUGGGGAAUCUUGGACAAUGGGCGCAAGCCUGAUCCAGCCAUGCCGCGUGAGUGAAGAAGGCCUUAGGGUUGUAAAACUCUUUCGCCGGAGAAGAUAAUGACGGUAUCCGGAGAAGAAGCCCCGGCUAACUUCGUGCCAGCCGCCGCAGUAAGAC